rnacentral:rRNA from 1 species
GGAGUUUGGGCCGUGUCUCAGUCCCAAUGUGGCCGGUCACCCUCUCAGGUCGGCUACUGAUCGUCGCCUUGGUGGGCCGUUACCUCACCAACUAGCUAAUCAGACGCGGGACCAUCCUACACCACCGGAGUUUUUCACACUGUACCAUGCGAUACUGUGCGCUUAUGCGGUAUUAGCAGCCGUUUCCAACUGUUAUCCCCCUGUGUAGGGCAGGUUUCCCACGCGUUACUCACCCGUCCGCCACUCAGUCACAAACAACUUCAUCCCGAAGGAAUCUGUCGUAAGUGCUUCGUUCGACUUGCAUGUGUUAAGCACGCCGCCAGCGUUCAUC